AGGAAAGGCGACGAGAAGAGGAAAAUAGAUCAUUUAUUAUAAUAAAUACGAGAACAGCGUAACAGGAAAAAGGUAGUACUGAAUUAUAUUGAAUGAAUCCCAACCAAACAACAUUAAAUUAUCAAGCCAUUAAUUUAAUACAACAACCAAAUAAAAGAAAAAUAGAUGUAAAUAAAUAUAUAGACGUUAAAAUAAGUAAAGAAAUAGACCCCACUAAGCCUCCCUGUUCUCCCCC
rnacentral:lncRNA from 1 species